rnacentral:rRNA from 1 species
GCCCGGGGCCGGCGUGCUAAUACAUGCAAGUCGAGCGGGGUUGUUUAGAAAGCUUGCUUCUACACAACCUAGCGGCGGACGGGUGAGUAACACGUAGGCAACCUGCCCACAAGACAGGGAUAACUACCGGAAACGGUAGCUAAUACCCGAUACAUCCUUUUCCUGCAUGGGAGAAGGAGGAAAGACGGAGCAAUCUGUCACUUGUGGAUGGGCCUGCGGCGCAUUAGCUAGUUGGUGGGGUAAAGGCCUACCAAGGCGACGAUGCGUAGCCGACCUGAGAGGGUGAUCGGCCACACUGGGACUGAGACACGGCCCAGACUCCUACGGGAGGCAGCAGUAGGGAAUCUUCCGCAAUGGGCGAAAGCCUGACGGAGCAACGCCUCGUGAGUGAUGAAGGUUUUCGGAUCGUAAAGCUCUGUUGCCAGGGAAGAACGUCUUGUAGAGUAACUGCUACGAGAGUGACGGUACCUGAGAAGAAAGCCCCGGCUAACUACGUGCCACCAGCCGCGGUAAUACGUAGGGGGCAAGCGUUGUCCGGAAUUAUUG